CCCUUAGAUGUUCUGGGCCGCACGCGCGCUACACUGUUCGACGCAGCGAGUCUUAACCUUGACCGAAAGGUUUGGGUAAUCUUCAGCAAAGUCGAACGUGAUGGGGAUCGAUCAUUGCAAUUAUUGAUCGUGAACGAGGAAUUCCUAGUAAGUGCAAGUAAUCAGCUUGCGCUGAUUACGUCCCUGCCCUUUGUACACACCGCCCGUCGCUACUACCGAUUGAAUGGUUUAGUGAGAUCUCUGGAUUGACGCUGGCUAGGGGGCGACCCUUGGCCAGACUGUUGAGAAACUGCUCAAACUUGAUCAUUUAGAGGAAGUAAAAGUCGUAACA
rnacentral:rRNA from 1 species